rnacentral:lncRNA from 1 species
UCUGCACUAUUAGAAUAGCAUAGAAUUUCAGGUCAAAUGAGCUUUACAAAAAUAUUUCAUUCUACCUGAAGAAGUUACAGAAACAUAUCCAUCCAAACCAUAAGAACUUCUGAGAUAGAACUUCCUCAGUCCUUGACUGAUGCUACAAUAUAACUUUAGUAUGACAGGGAGUAACUGAAGCUACUGGGGUGGUGGGGGUAAGAGGAAAUGACGUGACAUAAAAUGUAGUUAUAUGCAGUAUUACCCAUAUUUUGGCUUCCUUGAAGUUGCCAGGAUAUAAGAUCAAAGCUUUAUUUAAGUGAACAUAUAACUAAUCAGCUUAUUAUAGCUAGAAACCAGUGCAUGAUCAUGUCAUAGCACUCUCAAAAACAAUGCAUCUAUAAGAUGACCAGAAAGUCUCCUCAAAUAAUACAAAUCAUAUCAUUGCUUAGCUUAGCAUCUCUUUCAAUAAUAGAGGUUGAGGGAAAAAGAGAGCUUAGAUCACCAAUCCUGCUUAUAAAAGAUCCCGCAUCCGUCACGCUUCUGCCCACUUCUUUGGACGUAGAUACUUGAAUAACCAAAACUCUCUAUAUUUCUUUUAUAGAAGCUAUCAUAUUCAUCCAACUCCUAGCACAUAAAACAAUUGAUCAAAAGAUAGAUGCUUGAAUAACCAAAACUCUCUAUAUUUCUUUUAUAGAAGCUAUCAUAUUCAUCCAACUCCUAGCACAUAAAACAAUUGAUCAAAAGAUAACCUAGAAAAAGUUAGAAGUUGUUGUUAGAAGGACAAUGGAUGGAUGAAUGUUACUAAAUCUUAAUUAUCAAACAAUUCA